UACAGAGGGUGCAAGCGUUUAAUCGGAAUUACUGGGCGUAAAGCGUGCGCAGGCGGUUUUGUAAGUCUGUCGUGAAAGCCCCCGGGCUCAACCUGGGAAUUGCGAUGGAGACUGCAAGGCUUGAAUCUGGCAGAGGGGGGUAGAAUUCCACGUGUAGCAGUGAAAUGCGUAGAGAUGUGGAGGAACACCGAUGGCGAAGGCAGCCCCCCUGGGUCAAGAUUGACGCUCAUGCACGAAAAGCGUGGGGGAGCAAACAGGG
rnacentral:rRNA from 1 species